CAGCAGCCGCGGGAAUACGAAGGGUGCAAGCGUUACUCGGAAUUACUGGGCGUAAAGCGUGCGUAGGUGGUGGUUUAAGUCCGUUGUGAAAGCCCUGGGCUCAACCUGGGAAUUGCAGUGGAUACUGGGUCACUAGAGUGUGGUAGAGGAUAGUGGAAUUUCCGGUGUAGCAGUGAAAUGCGUAGAGAUCGGGAGGAACAUCAGUGGCGAAGGCGGCCAUCUGGGACAACACUGACGCUGAGGCACGAAAGCGUGGGGAGCAAACAGGAUUAGAUACCCGCGUAGUCCCUGUCUCUUAUAC
rnacentral:rRNA from 1 species